rnacentral:rRNA from 1 species
UGGGGAAUAUUGCGCAAUGGGGGGAACCCUGACGCAGCCAUGCCGCGUGAAUGAAGAAGGCCUUCGGGUUGUAAAGUUCUUUCGGUAUUGAGGAAGGUUGAUGUGUUAAUAGCACAUCAAAUUGACGUUAAAUACAGAAGAAGCACCGGCUAACUCCGUGCCAGCAGCCGCGGUAAUACGGAGGGUGCGAGCGUUAAUCGGAAUAACUGGGCGUAAAGGGCACGCAGGCGGUUAUUUAAGUGAGGUGUGAAAGCCCCGGGCUUAACCUGGGAAUUGCAUUUCAGACUGGGUAACUAGAGUACUUUAGGGAGGGGUAGAAUUCCACGUGUAGCGGUGAAAUGCGUAGAGAUGUGGAGGAAUACCGAAGGCGAAGGCAGCCCCUUGGGAAUGUACUGACGCUCAUGUGCGAAAGCGUGGGGAGCAAACAGGAUUAGAUACCCUGGUAGUCCACGCUGUAAACGCUGUCGAUUUGGGGGUUGGGGUUUAACUCUGACGCCCGUAGCUAACGUGAUAAAUCGACCGCCUGGGGAGUACGGCCGCAAGGUUA